rnacentral:rRNA from 1 species
UUGAUCCUGCCGGAGACCACUGCUAUUGGGGUUCGAUUUAACCAUGCAAGUUAAACGGAAUCGGCUGAGGUUCUGUAGCAUACGGCUCAGUAACACGUAGACAACCUGCCCUAAGGAAGAGAAUAACUUCGGGAAACUGAAGCUAAUACUCUAUAAUUGAGGUGCGCUGGAACUUGCCAUCUCGGUGAAAGUUUAUGUUCUCAUGCUGGAUAUAGGCGCCUUAGGAUGGGUCUGCGGCCAAUUAGGCAGUUGGCGGUAUAACGGACCACCAAACCUAUGAUUGGUACGGGCUACGAAAGUAGAGGCCCGGAGAAGGACACUGAGACAAGGGUCCUAGCCCUACGGGGUGCAGCAGGUGCGAAAACUCCACAAUACACGAAAGUGUGAUGGGGGAACCCCAAGUGCCAUAGUUUCACUAUGGCUUUUGCCAAGCUUAAAUAAUUUGGCGAAUAAGGGGUGGGCAAGACUGGUGCCAGCAGCCGCGGUAACACCAGCGCCUCUAGUGGUGGUUGCGAUUAUUGGGCCUAAAGCAUCCGUAGCCGGUUGUACAAGUUCUUCGUGAAAUUGUUAUGCCCAACAUAACGGCGUGCGAAGAAUACUAUACAACUUGGGACCGGGUGGGGUUGAGGGUAUUCCUAGGGGAGCGGUAAAAUGCUAUAAUCCUAGGAGGACCACCUGCGGCGAAGGCGCUCAACUAGAACGGGUCCGACGGUGAGGGAUGAAAGCUGAGGGAGCGAACCGGAUUAGAUACCCGGGUAGUCUCAGCUGUAAACGCUGCCCGUUAGGUGUUGCAUGUUCUUCGUGAGCAUGCAGUGCCAAAGCGAAGGCAUUAAACGGGCCGCCUGGGGAGUACGGUCGCAAGGCUGAAACUUAAAGGAAUAGGCGGGGGAGCACAACAAGGGGUGAAUGCCUGCGGUUCAAUUGGAUUCAACGCCGG